rnacentral:rRNA from 1 species
GAUGAACGCUGGCGGCGUGCCUAAUACAUGCAAGUCGAGCGAACAGAUAAGGAGCUUGCUCCUUUGACGUUAGCGGCGGACGGGAGAGUAACACGUGGGUAACCUACCUAUAAGACUGGGAUAAUUUCGGGAAACCGGAGCUACUACCGGAUAAUAUUUCGCACCGCAUGGUUCGAUAGUGGAAGAUGGUUUUGCUAUCACUUAUAGAUGGACGCGCGCAGUAUUAGCUAGUUGGUAAGGUAACGGCUUACCAAGGCGACGAUACGUAGCCGGCCUGAGAGGAGGAUCAGACACCCUGGGAGGGAGCAACGGCAGAGACUCUUCCGGGAGGCAGGAGUGGGGAAUAGUGGACAAUGGGGGAAAGACUGAUCCAGCAAUGCCGCGAGAGUGAUGAAGGCAUGAGGGUUGUAAAGUUAUUUUACCUGGGAUGAUAAUGACAGUACCGGGAGAAAAAGCCCCGGCUAACUCCGUG